UCAAACAGUAAAAACCUAAGCGCUUGA
rnacentral:piRNA from 1 species